rnacentral:misc_RNA from 1 species
GCGAGUUUCAGAACUCCCAAACCCACUGUGAACAUACCACUGUCGUCUGCUUCGGCGGGCGGCCCCCGAGGGGGGGCCGGAGCUCCCAGGAGGGGGCGCCCGCCGGCGCGCCAAACCAAACCAGUUUGCAAUGUUUAGUUACCUUCUGAGUCGCUAGAAAAAUAACAAGUCA